rnacentral:lncRNA from 1 species
AUGUUUGGGGAAGGCGCCCCCGGGACCCUGGUACUAUGGGGAAGCUGGACUAUGCAGGAGGAGGCCUUGAGGGCGGAGGCGGCCAGUGGGCUCCACCAAGCCCCUCACAGAUUCUUGGGGCCUCUCUGUGAGAUGCGAGUGUGGGAACUACCUGUCAUGUGGUCCUCCGAGAAGCAGCACGGCCAUCCCUCGAGAGAGCUGGCCUGGGUCCAGAACCUCCUGUGUGCGGAUUCCCUGGGCUCCAUCGGCCUUCGAGGUCUAGGGCACGCAAGGAGUGAGGGUGCAGGCACCAUUCUUUCCGGCUUUCAACAGAUGCAUACUGGGGGCUGUGGUGGGCCAGGCUCAGGAAGACAGCUGUGGCCUAGUUGGGUGAAGCUCCCAGAGGGGCCAAGGGGUCAUCCCUGUCUACACAGCAAUAGUUGUGCAGCCAGCUGUCCCCCAAGAGGGGCUAGCCCGUCCCCAGGUGCAGGAUCAUGGCCUGUGUGCUACCUGCUCGUCUACACCACCCUGACAGCAAAAAAGCAUGGGGGUGCUCUCCAAGCUGUGUUGACUGAGGCCUCCCAGGACCAGCAGCGAUGCAGUUGCCUCCCGAUGCCUCCUCCCUGCGGGGCCUGCGCGCAGCUCUCGGGUAGAGAGGCCUCCUGGAGCUCACAGCAGGGAGUGAAUUGCGAGUCCUUCACUCAUGCCCAGUCGUGGGGUCUGGGAGCUCCACACCAGGGAGGACUCCGUGCUCUCUCGGCCACCCUCCCUUCUCAUGGCCAGAGGGCCCCCAGCAGUGGGACUGGCCAGAGGGCGCCUGGGACACCUGGAGCUCUCGGCUACCCUAUUGGUCCUUUCCCACCUCAUGCCCCAGUGUGGAAGGGGAGGCACCUGUGUGUCCUUCCAAGGCCACGAAGGGUAACACAGGGCUUAGUCCUGGGUCAACUUGGCCCCGAUCACCACUCCCUGCCCUGGCCCCAGAGCCCAUGGAGGCAGGCUGGGCCCAGGGUCCUCCUCCAGUCCCAGCAGCCCCGCCGGCUGCGGCCCCCAAACCCUGUGCCCGCCCCCACCCCUCCAGACAGGCGUACAGGCGCCACCACCCCACCCAGGUUCUUACAACUGAAAUCACCCCAUCUCUUCUGUUUUACAUCAUUAGGAAGCGGAACCUUCCCAUAA